GAUGGCUUUAUGUCAUAUAACAGGUAAAUACAUUUUGAUGUAUUGUGAAAAAUACCUAUGCAAAGAACCUUGUCAUACAUCAAUGCGCUCUGGAAAUGAGUUUAUUCAAGAGAUAUUACGAGGAAAUGAGACUCGUUGUUAUGAAAAUUUCCGACUGAAGAAGGCGGUGUUCAUUGAUCUAUCCAAUGACCUAACUGAUAAAUAUGGGCUUAAACCCACUCGUGGAAUGUGUAUACAUGAAAUGUUAGGCAUAUUCUUGAUGACUUAUGCACAUGGAGUUGGAAAUCGAAUGAUACAAGAUAUCUUUCAACAUUCUGGAGAGACAAUUCAUAGACACUUUCAUAGUGUUUUAAAGGCCGUUUGUAAGCUUGCAAGAGAUAUCAUUCAACCACAUCCAAAUUAUAAUGAUGGUUGCGAUGCUCACAAGCCAUGUAAACAAAGAUAUCUCCCUUUCUUUAAAGUAAGUAACCCGUUUAUGAUAAUUUGUUAUUCUGCAUUGUAUCUUUACUACCCUUAUAUAACAAAAGCUUUAUGAUAGUUUCUUGCCCCUUAGAAUUCAACGAGAAAAAAAUGGAUCCCAAGUUUCUUAUUUUACAUUCACUUCUUGUAGGACUAUAUUGGAGCAAUUGAUGGCACACAUGUUAAAGCUAGAUUACCGCAAGGUCAAGAGAUACCAUAUAUUGGACGUAAAGGUUAUCCGACUCAGAAUAUUCUCGUCGUUGUUGAUUUUAAUAUGUGUUUUACAUUUGCAUGGGCUGGGUGGGAAGGAGCAGCUCACGAUAGUCGUAUAUUUGCUGAGGCCCUUCGUAGAGAAGAGCUCAACUUUCCACAUCCACGCGGAAACAAAUAUUAUCUAGUUGAUGCAGGAUAUUCACACAUGAAAGGAUACAUGGCUCCAUACAAAGGAAAUAAUAAAUGUAGUAGAGCGCACAUUUGGCGUUUGGAAAGCAAGAUGGUCUAUUUUGAGAGACAUGCCAUACUAUCACAUUGACACACAAAGGGACAUCGUACUUGCUACUAUGGCCAUUCACAAUUAUAUUAGAAAGAAAUGCAAUGUGGAUGAUGCAUUCCAAACAGCCGAGAAUGAGAGCUAUAUUCCAUCGGUUGAUUCUAAUGAUAUUGGCACAACUUCAAGAGCUAACAAUGUAGAUGUCGAAGAUGUAGGAGAACAAAAUGAUGUCUAUUGGAUGGGGUUUCGUGAUAUGAUUGCUAGUGACAUUUCUAAUGCUUGAUGCUUGUAUUAUAUGAAUAUUUUCCACUUCUUGUAUUUAUAGUGGAGUGCUUUCGGUUGUAUUAGCACUUUUAUUUUGUGUCAAAUUCUCCAUCUUUGA